rnacentral:rRNA from 1 species
GCAUAUCAAUAAGCGGAGGAAAAGAAACCAACAGGGAUUGCCUCAGUAACGGCGAGUGAAGCGGCAACAGCUCAAAUUUGAAAGCUGGCUCCUUCGGGGCCCGCGUUGUAAUUUGCAGAGGAUGCUUCGGGUGCGGUGCCGGUCUAAGUUCUUUGGAACAAGACGUCAUAGAGGGUGAGAAUCCCGUAUGUGACUGGUUGCCUGCGCCCGUGUGAAGCUCCUUCGACGAGUCGAGUUGUUUGGGAAUGCAGCUCUAAAUGGGUGGUGUACUUCAUCUAAAGCUAAAUAUUGGCCAGAGACCGAUAGCGCACAAGUAGAGUGAUCGAAAGAUGAAAAGCACUUUGGAAAGAGAGUUAAACAGUACGUGAAAUUGUUGAAAGGGAAGCGCUUGCAAUCAGACUUGCGCGGCGCCGAUCAGCCUGGGUUCUCCCUGGUGCACUCGGUGCCGCUCAGGCCAGCAUCAGUUUCGGCGGUUGGAUAAAGGCCUAGGGAACGUGGGUCGCCUCGGCGAUCGUUAUAGCCCUAGGUGCAAUGCAGCCUGCUGGGACUGAGGACCGCGCUUCGGCUAGGAUGCUGGCGUAAUGGUUGUAAGCGACCCGUCUUGAAACACGGACCAAGGAGUCUAACAUCUAUGCGAGUAUUUGGGUAUCAAACCCAUAUGCGUAAUGAAAGUGAACGGAGGUGAGAACCCUUAAGGGUGCAUCAUCGACCGAUCCUGAUGUCUUCGGAUGGAUUUGAGUAAGAGCAUAGCUGUUGGGACCCGAAAGAUGGUGAACUAUGCCUGAAUAGGGUGAAGCCAGAGGAAACUCUGGUGGAGGCUCGCAGCGGUUCUGACGUGCAAAUCGAUCGUCAAAUUUGGGUAUAGGGGCGAAAGACUAAUCGAACCAU